rnacentral:sRNA from 1 species
GCUAGGAGUCUGUUUGCCAAAGUUACCAAGAGCCUCUUUGGCAGAAAGAAGAACAAGAGUAAGAAUCAUGCCCAGGAGAGGGACGAGGUCUCCGGUUUGGUGAGCGGCCUCAUGCGCACAUCCGUUGGCCAUCAGGAUGCCAGGCCAGAGGUGAGGUGUUCACGUGGACACUGUUCCCCUGACUCACCCCCACCCUAGCAGCUGAGGGAAGCCCGGGAUAAAAGAGGCUGCUGAAGCAUCCAGCCUCGUGGUAGCCUAAUUGGCUGUGUGUCACCAGCCUGGCGGGGCUGACCUGGGGUGCCCUGGGAGCCAGGGAAGGGCCGGGCCAUGGACUCAAGGGUUUGGAUUUUGGGGCCUGUCUCACUCCCUUUCCCUGCCCAACCCUCCAGGCUCCAGCAGCUUCUGGCCCAGCCCCUGUCAGCCUGGUAGAGACAGCACCUGAAGACAGCUCACCCCGUGGGACACUGGCAAGCAGUGGAGAUGGAUUUGAAGAAGGUCUGACUGUGGCCACAGUAGUGGAGUCAGCCCUUUGUGCUCUGAGAAACUGUGUAGCCUUCAUGCCCCCAGCGGAACAGAACCCGGCCCCCCUGGCCCAGCCAGAGCCUCUGGUGUGGGUCAGCAAGUGGGUUGACUACUCCAAUAAGUUCGGCUUUGGGUAUCAACUGUCCAGCCGCCGUGUGGCUGUGCUCUUCAACGAUGGCACACAUAUGGCCCUGUCGGCCAACAGAAAGACUGUGCACUACAACCCCACCAGCACAAAGCACUUCUCC